GUCUUUUUAGGGCUGCACCCGCGGCAUAUGGAGGUUCCCAGGCUAGGGGUCUAAUUGGAGCUACAGCUGCUGGCCUACACCACAGCCACAGCAACUCGAGAUCUGAGCCAUGUCUGUGACCUGCAGCACAGCUUAUGGCAGCACUGAAUCCUUAACCCACUGGGUGAGGCCAGGGAUCAAACCUGCAACCUCAUGUUUCCUAGUCGGAUUUGUUUCCACUGCACCACAGUGGGAACUCCUAGAAAAAUUAGAUUCUUAAGGGACCUGGCACCCCAGUAUGGUGCUAAACCCCUCUGUCCCUCCCCAGGUCUAGGGGUGUGGUGGCCUGAUCUUGGGAGGCCUACUGCCAGGAGGGGGUCCCCACCUCCCCUCUCAUAUGCAGUCCUGGCCAGCCUGACCUGGCAUGGUGCUGGCUGACUGCCCCACGUCAGUUCUUUUAUCUCAUCCGGGGUCAGCUCUGGGUGGGCAGCCUUGGCACAGCACCCCUAUGCUCUUCCCCUCCCAUGGUCAUCUAGCUCUGCCUGCGUCUUUUGUCUCUCUCACGGCCCCAGGCCCCUAACUAAGCUGAGUAUAGCUGCUCUCCUCUCUCUGGUGGAGGAAUUGCCUUUCCCUAGAGAUGCCUUGCUUCCGCUGAUUGAUUUGCUGCAGGUGAAACCCGCCCGGUCUGCUGCUUGUCGGAGCCACUUUGCAAAGUGCUUCCUCUGCAGUGGCCUUGACAACGAGGAAGGGAGCUGGCGAGCCCUGAGGUGGGUGCGCAGCAGUGGUGGGCCAUGGUUUUUGGCUCGAUGUCCCUGAUGCCUUGUAUAUUAAAGAUUUUCACCACAUCUGAACAUAGACAGCAGGAGAGGAGAGCAGGGGUAGAGGAGUUUGGACCUUCAACACGCGUGUUUCCGUGGUUGCCAUCACCUUGACCUGCUGGGCAGGCAGGUUUGGGGAGCGGAGGGGCUCUGGGAGCAGAGACAGGCCCCAGAACCCCCAGCUGCGCCCACACCCCCUCCAUCACCUGCCCCAUUGUCUUUCCCUUUUGAGGCCUUGGCUUUCCCAGCUCACCACGUGGGGGCCGUUCCUGUCGAGGCUUGUAAAAAUCAGCCUUUGAGAAAGAAAAGGGAACUUUUCCUGUUGAAUGUUGGCUCUGUGUGUGUGUGUGUGUGUGCGUGUUUGUGGGUGUUUUUAAUGGAUUUUAUUUUUGUGAAAUACCUUGACAAUUAUGUAGCAAAAUUCGCUUUUAUCUCCCAGUCAACCUUUUGGUUCCAGAGUCAACCCUGGGUGUCGCUAAUUGGAAGAAUUCUCUCCUGGGUAUGUGAACAGAGAGGUGCCAUCCUCAAGAGUUGAGGUGGUGGAGAGGGUUGGGAGAAACUGAAGUUCGAUACAUUUCCAUAAAGUUUCCUUCCUGCAGUUAAAAGGUAGGAGACAUGGAGCCGAGGCUGUGUGUCCCCGAGGGAACUGGCACGAGGCCCCUCCCUCGGCGCCCUUGCUGCUGCUUUAUCUGAAUCUGUUCACACUCGUGUUUGUGGGCUUCUUCUGUAACGCCACAGCUGAAACAGCACGUUCUUUUCCUUUUUCUGCUUUCAGUUCAUUGUGUAAAUGGUUCAUUUUUUUCUCUUGUGAGCUCCGGUGACUGUGUCAGGGCUUCUGUAGCAAACAGUCACCCCUCGUGGGCAGAAAAACAAAACCCAAGAAGAGUCUUGCUCACCGGAGGCCCCAAGCCUCAGGCCUGCGCCAUCCAGAGCAAGGCUGUUUAUGCUCCGCUGUUGAGAAGCACCUUUCCACCAGCUGUAUUCAACACUACAAUGCAGUUUGAAAACUAUAUUUGCAUCCAAGACAAUAAAAGGCCAUAUUUUUUGAAAACCCUGUGAUUUGUCGUUCCCCUUGAGCUAUGGAGGAGGUGACAAAAUGAGAUCAGGGCAAAGUGAUGCCCACAAGUGGCUCCCUCAUUCUAGGGUUGGGGGUGUGGGUGCAGCCUGGCGGUGCUGUGGGUGAGGAGACAGACCCAGGAUGGCAGGGGCUCAGGAGGUAUGUCCUGGAGGACAGUGGGCCUAAAGAGAAGCCUCUGCUGAACGGCCCAGCAGGAUGGACUCUACCUGGGAAUGCACCAGGCUGUGGUAUUGCAGGCCUUUCCCAGGUGGACAGAGUCCAGUGAUGCUUGUGCAGACUUGCACACUUCCUAGUGUGGAACAUGGGCAAAUAGCACCCCCCCGCACUCUUUACAGGAGGUGGUGAGGUUCCCAUGUAGUCGGAUGCAUCCAGUGCUUAAGAGAGCGCAUGUUACCACCAACGUGGCCAGCACCAGCCCCUGCACAGAAUGGGGUCCAUGUUGUGGAGGUGCCCGGGUGGCUGUGGGCUCCCUGCUGACGCUGACCCAGUACUGUAGGCAGAGAACACUAGGAGGUUGACCGCAGAGAUGUCCCUUUGUUGUGCUGGGAUUUUGAUCUCUGUUUAAUCUAGAAGCUUUUCUUUUGGCUCUGCCAUCUUUCCGUGCCCGCCCCCCUGCCCCCCAGCGCCUUGUGUCUGGGCAGGGUGACCCGGUAAGAUGAACCAUGCCAUCCCAUCUCAGGCUGCUGGCUUAUUCACUGAACAGCUGCCCAGAUCCAUAUCUCGACUAAAAUGCAGUGGGCUGAUACACAGGCUCUUGUCUGAUCAAACCCCCACUCCUCCCCCAAGGGAAAAAGUCUUCAUGACACAAAGCAAGAUUUGGGGCCUUGAGAACCGGGGGCCCUAGAGGGAGAGGUAAGUGGUUGUGCCUUUGGGUUGGAGGGAGCUCAACUAUUGAGAUAAUCAGUGGCUGUCCAGUUGGUUCUUCUAACUUGGGAGCCCACCCCAUGUCAUGUACAGAACCUUAAAAGAUAACUUGGGGCAUAAUUAGAAGAAGGGAGAGGUCGGAUCUGGGGAAGGGAGGAGAAGAGUCUGGAGGGGGAGGCCAGGGCACUGGAGCUUCAAUUCCUCAGCGUCAGGUGCUGGGCCACCUCGGGGACAGGGACACCCCUGCACAGUUCUCAAGUUUUUCCUCACAGAGGAAGAAAUGGAAGUUGUUUCCAAGGUGACAGGGCUGCACUGGUCAGAGUGAGAAGGCUGGUUUCAUUUUUUUAUCCUGCAAAGGGCCUCUCCAUCCACCAAGUUGGAAGAUUAUCCAUGGUAUCCUCCCCUUCCCUCCCCUUCCCCGACACCAAGCGCUGUUAAGUCUGUCCUCCAGAUUUCUUCCAAACACAUAGUCCACUUCACUCCGUCCCCAGUGUCCCCAGUACCCAAGUCCAAGUUGCCACUGUUUCUCAAGUUCACACAACAGUGUCCUCCAUCCCUUCUGUCUGGUGGCCUCUUCUGGUCAGGGAACCUGAGGAAGCCCACCCCCCACAGGCCUCCCCACCGUCCUUCCAGGGCUUCCAGAUAAAGGCCAGUCCCCCCGACCCCACUGAGUCCAUCCUGCCCGCGCCGGCCUUUCCAACCUCAUUUCUGCUUUUUUCAGUUCCUUGAAUAUGCUGUGCUUUGCUUUGUUUCACUCUAGGUUUUCCCAGGUCUCCUUCCUCUACCCACAUCUUUCCCCUUCUCUACCCCUUUUCCUAUCAAGCUCCUACUCUCUCUUCCCAUCUUAGUCCUUACAUGUCAGGGAGUUCCGGUUGUGGCUCAGCAGUAACGAACCCGACUAGAAUCCAUGAGGUUGAGGGUUGGAUCCCUGGCCUCGCUCAGUGGGUUAAGGAUCCUGCAUUGCCGUGAACUGCGGUGUAGGUCACAGAUGCAGCUCGGAUCCCAAGUUGCUAUGGCUAUGGUGUAGGCCAGAGGCUACAGCUCUCAUUCGACCCCUAGCCUGGGAACUUCCAUAUGCCGUGGGUGCAGUCCUAAAAAGACCAAAAAAAUAUAUAUAUAUUAAAUGUCAGAAACCAGCCUUAGUGUGUGUGUCAUCCCCCAAACCCCCCAAAACACAGGUCCGCACGUGCACGUGCACAUACACACACAUACAUGCACACAUCCAGUCAGGCCUCGGAGCACCUCAUAUUUUCUCAGGGUGCAGGUCAUGUUUGUGAUUAUCGUUCACCUUCCCCACCAGGUUCCGAGACCCUUUGGGACAAGGUGCCUGUGGCCACUGCUGUGCCCAGCUCAGAAUUGUCACAUGGCAGGUGCCCCUGGGAACCUGUUCUGUGCGCCCUUGGCCCUGUGCCUGCCGCCCUUCCCCAUCUCCGAGUCAGACAGGCGCAGGGUGUGGGGAGCCUGACCAGAUAGGACAGGAGGAGAGAGGAGGGGGCAACUAUUGGAUGCAGACGUCAAACUCAGGUAGGUGUUGAGCAAGGUUUAAAGGUUGGAUCCUAUGAUUACAGAUUUAAUAUUAAACUUUAGUAAUUCAGGUUGUAAAUGUGAUGAGAAUAGCCUCCAAACGGCAUUUAAAAGCAUUUCAUCUUGGACUUGGCCUUGAUUCUAUAGAAUACAGUUUACCAUCUUUAGUAGCUCUUUUUUUGUUGUGUCAGGCUCUGAAUUUAGCCUGGUGUAGGGUGGUGUGAUGACAUGUAAUGUGUGCUUUUACCUUUUUAUUUCAGAACAUUGCCAGCAUACACAGAAGCAGAGAGAAGAGUAUAAUGAAACCUCACGUGCCUGACCUCCACUUGAACAAUCACCAACUCAGGGCCAAUUUUGUUUGAUACAUACCUCACCUCACUCCCAUUAUUUAGAAGCAAAGCCCAGAUGCCUUAGUCUGCCAUCAAGAUGCGUGUGCUGAAGGCCGAAUUUGAACUCAGCUCAGGGGACAUAACGGUGACUUUAUUGACAAAGAGGACAAAACCGAUCUUGAUACUGAGUGAAGGGAGACAUACAGCAUGCCAUAGAAGAAGAGUGGCAGGGACCACUCCUGGGUGGGAGGAUCGCCCAGUAGGUGGCUCCCAGCCAGGACCCAGCGAGACACCAGCGUCUGCCAGGCAGAGGGCGAGACCCACGGGGGGAGCUCCCUUCACAGAAGACGUGUUGACCAACCACAACGCCUCCCUGUGCGUCCACCUUUGCUUUUGUCUAUUUACUUAUUUACUUAGUUUGCUUUUUAGGGCCACACCAGCAGUAUAUGGAGGUUCCCAGGCUAGAGGUCAGAUUGGAGCUGCAGCUGCUGGCCUACACCACAGCCACAGCAACGCAGGAUCCUUAGCACACUGAGUGAGGCCUCAAAAGACUGCACAGUGGGGAUUAUUACCCUCAUUUUACACAGGAGGAAACUAAUGCUUACCUCCCAUGGUGGAGCAGUCAGCAAACUGGCCGAAGACGGGAAGUUCUUCAACUAAUAAAGGCGUCUAAGAACACCCCACAGUAAACAUAUUUUUAAUGAUGAAUGGCUGAAUACUUUCCAUGUGUAAUAGGGGCAAGGCAAGGAUGUCUGUUGUCACCAGGACCAUACAGCAUUUUUCUGGAAGGUUUAGUCGGAUCAGGUUAGGAAGACAUUCCCAUUAGAAAGGAGUGAAAAUGCUCUGUGCAAAUGACAUGAUGCUUUAUAUGGAAAACCCUAAAGAGUACACACACACAUACACAUGUAAGAGCCAGUAAGUGAGUUCAACAAGGUCCCAGGAAACAAGAUCAAUAUGCAAAAUUCAGCUGCAUUUCUGAACUCUAGCAAUGAACAACUCAAAAAUGAAACUAAGGAAACUCUUCCAUGUACAAUAACAUCAAAGAGAAUAAAAUGUUUUAGGAUAAAUUUAAUCAGGGAAGGGCAAGACUUCUACACUGACACCUGUAAAACGUUGUUGAUUAUUCAGCCAUAAAAAGGGAUUAAUUGAUACAACAACAUGGGUGAACUUCAAACACAUGAUGCUAUGUGGAAGGAACCAGACACAAAAGGCCACGUACUGUAUGAUCCCAUAUAUGUGAAAUGCCCAGCAUAGUAAAUCCAAAGGGAUAGAAAACAGAUUGGUAUUGGCAGCAAGGAGGCGGAGCAGAAGUGUACUUAAUGGAUAUGGGGUGUCCUUUUGGGGUGAUGCCAUUUUGGAACUUCAUAUACGUGCCAGUUACAUUGUGAAUGUCCUAAGUGCCACUGAAUUGUACAGUUUAAGAUGCUUCAUUUCACUUUACAUGAAUUUCACCUCAAUUUUUGUAAAUGUUGAAAGAAACUAAAGAAGGCCUAAAUAAAUGGAAAAACAUCUUGUGU
rnacentral:lncRNA from 1 species